UGAUCAGUCAAAAAAUGUUCGGGCCAAUCAAAUUGCCAGGGCGGGCUUUAUACGAUCAUGGACUGAUGAUCUGCAGGGACGUAAUCAUCACGUUAUCAAAGAGCGCUUAACUGGUUUCCCUCAGAGAUGACUGCAGCUGGAGAACUGAGAUGUAUAGAUUCCGCUGUCGCAACUGCAAUCAAGGCAUUUGUCGAUCGGAAAGAUAUUUUUGCCGUCCUUCCUACGGGAUU